rnacentral:rRNA from 1 species
GAUGAACGCUGGCGGCGUGCCUAAUACAUGCAAGUCGAGCGAACAGAUGAGGUGCUUGCUCCUCUGACGUUAGCGGCGGACGUGUGAGUAACACGUGGAUAACCUACCUAUAAGACUGGGAUAACUUCGGGAAACCGUAUCUAAUACCGGAUAAUAUAUUGAACCGCAUGGUUCAAUAGUGAAAGACGGUUUUGCUGUCACUUAUAGAUGGAUCCGCGCCGCAUUAGCUAGUUGGUAAGGUAACGGCUUAACAAGGCAACGAUGCGUAGCCGACCUGAGAGGGUGAUCGGCCACCCUGGAACUGAGACACGGUCCAGACUCCUACGGGAGGCACCAGUAGGGAAUCUUCCGCAAUGGGCGAAAGCCUGACGGAGCAACGCCGCGUGAGUGAUGAAGGUCUUCGGAUCGUAAAACUCUGUUAUUAGGGAAGAACAAAUGUGUCAGUAACUAUGCACGUCUUGACGGUACCUAAUCAGAAAGCCACGGCUAACUACGUG